CCUGGGUUCAAACAAUCCUCCCACCUCAGCCUCUCAAGUAGCUGGGACUACAGGCUUACACCACCAAGCUUGGCUAAUUUUUUUUUUUUUUUUUUUUAGAGAUGGUGUUUUGCUAAGUUGUCCACACUGAUCUCAAAAUCCUUUUGUUUUUGCUUUGGAAUGGUCUGGAACUCCUGAGCUCAAGUGAUCCUCCCACCUUGGCCUCCCAAAGGCCUGGGAUUACACGUAUGAGCCACCGCACCAAGCCCAUGUUGAGCUUUUAAGGUAUUAAAGAUCCACUAGGUGAAAAAAAAGAGUGAAAGAUACAUAUGCCAUUUAAGGGAAGCACAGGAAAACUCCUAUUUUGUUUAUAUGUGAAUAGAGGCACAUAGAUGCCUAGAAAAGUGUCUGGGAGGGAAUGAAACCAGAUUGGCCACAAAAAUCACCUCUGGAAAAAGGAAAAGAAUGGGGACUUUCACUUUUUGCUUCAUAUGUUUCAUGUACCUUUUUUUUUUUUUUUUUGAGAUGGAGUUUCACUCUUAUUGCCCAGGCUGGGGUGCAGUGGUGCGAUCUCAGCUCACUGCAACCUCUGCCUCCUAGGUUCAAGCGAUUCUCCUGCCUCAGCCUCCCAAGUAGCUGGGAUUACAGGCAUGCGCCACCACGCCCGGCUAAUUUUUUGUGUUUUUAGUAGAGACGAGGUUUCUCCAUGUUGGUCAGGCUGGUCUCGAACUCCUGACAUCAGGUGAUCUACCCACUUUGGCCUCCCAAAGUGCUGGGAUUACAGGCGUGAGCCACCGCGCCCAGCUGCUUUUUCUUUUUAAAAAGUAAAAUAUAACAGAGAAAACUGCACAAAACAGAAGUGUUCAAAUUAAAUUUUUUUUUUUUUGAGACAGGGUCUUGCCCUGUUGCCCAGGCUGGAGUGCAGUGGCUCAUUCAUAGCUCACUGCAGCCUCAAACUCCUGGGCUGUGCCACCACACGCAGCUGGUUUUUUUUUUUUUUUUUAAUUUUUUGUAGAGACAGGGUCUCGCUAUGUCACCCACGCUGGUCUCAAACUCACGGGCUCAAGCAAUCCUCCCAUCUUUGGCCUCCCAAAGUACUGAGACUACAAACAUGAGCCAUCUUGCCCAGCCCCUAGAACGUGUUAUCAAAUAAACACCGAUGCAACCCUCACUCAGCUGAGAAGUAAAACAUUGCCAGCCAAUCCCUAAAUGCUUCUGCUUGCCGCUUCCCAAUCCUAACCAAUGCCUUCUCCUGACAAUUAUGAUGGUCAUGUCUUUGCAUUUCUCUAAUGUUUCCCAUCACGAUCAAACUAGUUUUGUUUUGCCUGUGUCCAAACUUUGCAUAAAUGAGCAGCAUGUGUCUGGUGGACCUGGCUUCUUCCACUCAACAUUAUGAUAAGAAGAUUGACCAUUUGGUGCCCAUAGCUAUUGCUCUUGCAUUUUCAUUGCUCUAUAGAUUCUUACUCAACAUACCUUAAAAAUUUUUUUAUUCUGAAAUAAGAGCGGGAUGCUAUUAAAAAAAGAAAAAAGAAGAGAACAAAAAAGUCCUCCAGUAAAUUUAAAAUAUGGUAGUCAAGGCCGGGCACGGUGGCUCACACCUGUAAUCCCAGCACUUUGGGAGGCUGAGGUGGGUGGAUCACCCGAGGUCAGGAGUUCGAGACCAGCCCGGCCAACAUGGCAAAACCCUGUCUCUACGAAAAAAAUACAUAAAUCAGCCAGGUGUGGUGGUGUGCACCCGUAAUCCCAGCUACUCGGGAGGCUGAGACAUGAGAAUUGCUUGAGCCCGGGAGGCAGAGGUUUCGGUGAGCUGAGAACUGCCACUGCACUCCAGCCUGGGUGACAGAAUGAGACUAUAAAAGAAAGAAAGAGAGAAAGAGAGAGAGAAAGGAAGGAGGGAAGGGAAGGGAGGGGAGGGGAGGGGAAGGGAGGGGAGGGGAGGGGAGAGAAGGGGAAGGGAAGGGAAGGAGAAGGGAAAGGGAAGGGAAGAAAAUUAGAGAUUAAUUCAGGAGAUUCAACAUCCGCCUAAUAGAAAUUCUAGAAAGAGGAAGUAGAGAAUAGAGAGGCCAGGUGCAGUGGCUCACACCUAUAAUCUCAGCACUUUGGGAGGCUGAAGUAGGAGGAUUGCUUAAGGCCAGGAGUUUGAGGCUGCAGUGAGCUAUGAUUGAGCCACUGUACUCCAGCCUGGAAAACAAAGCAAGACCUCGUCUCUAAAAGUAAUAAUAUGCCGGGACAGUGGCUCCCCACACUUUGGGAGGCUAAGGUGGGCGGAUCACUUGAGGUCAGGCUUUCGAGACCAGCCUGGCCAACAUGAUGAAACCCAAUCUCCACUAAAAAUAAAAAAAUUAGCCAGGUGUGGUGCUGCACACCUGUAACCCCAGCUACCUGGGAGGAGACAGGAGAAUCGCUUGAACCCGGGAGAUGGAGGUUGCAUGAGGUGAGAUCGCCUCAUUGCACUCCAGCCUGGGUGAUAGAAUGAGACUCUGUCUCAAAAUAAUAAUAAUAAUAAUAAAGUUAAAUAUAAAUAAAUAAAAGCAAAUGAAUAUAAUGAGUUUUAUUCAUUUGUUUUGCUGUUGUUAUUGUUUUGGAGACAGAGUUUUGUUCUUGUCGCCCAGGCUGGAGUACAAUGAUGCGAUCUGGUCUCACUGCAACCUUCGCUUCCUGGGUUCAAGCGAUUCUCCUGCCUUAGUCUCCUGAGUAGCUGGGAUUAGAGGCGUGUGACACCACGCCCGGGUAAUUUUUGUAUUUUUAGUAGAGACGGGGUUUCACCAUGUUGGCCAGGCUGGUCUCGAACUCCUGACCUCAGGUGAUCCACCAACCUGGGCCUCCCAAAGUGCUGGGAUUACAGGUAUGAGCUAUCAUGCCUGGCCUCAUUUCUUUUAAAAUCAGAAGGAAAAAAUAUAUAUAACUUUUAGGCCAAAAAUGUCUUCACAUAUAUUAAUAGAUUGAUCUUUUCCCAAUGCAACCAUAAAUAUCAUUUUUUAAAAUUAUUAUUAUUUUAGAAACAGGGUCUCACUCUGACGCCCAGGCUGAAGUGCAGUGGUAUGAUCUUAGCUCACUGUAGCCUCCAAUUCCUGGGCUCAAGCGAUCCUCCCACAUCAGCUUCUUGAAUGUGACCUCAGGCAGACGUCACCGUGCCCAGCUAAUUUUUAAUGUAAUUUUAUUUUUUUGGUAAAGAUGGGUUCUCAUUAUGUUGCCCAGGCCGGUCUUGAACUCCUGGCCUCAAGUGAUCCUCCUGCCUUGGCCUCCUAAGGUGCUGGUAUUAUAGGAUUGAGCCACCAAGCCCGGCCCGAAUAUAAUUUUUAAAUUUUUUUUUUUAAGACAGAGUUUCACUCUUGUUGCCUAGGCUGGAGUGCAGUGCGAGACCCCGUCUCAAACAAACAAAACAAAACAAAAUGAGGACAAUGGGGCUUCCAAUGGCAACUCGAGACGUUAGUUUACUCCAGAGUCAUGGAGACAGUGAAUGGAGUGUGUGUGUGUGUGUGUGCGUGUGCGUGAGUGAGAGAGAGAGGAAGAAGGGAGGGAGGGACGGUUACAGGAGUGUGGGAAAGUCAACAGGAAAAGGAGGGAAGGUUCGCUGUGAACUGACAGUAACUGUGACAUCACAGGCAUGUGCGGAGUCCCCGCCCCCCCAGGCACUGUGCCAAGGCCAGUACCUUCAUGUCAUGAGACCCUCUCAGCAACUCUGUAACCUUGUCCCCACCAGAAUAUUCCUUUCACAGCUGAGAAAACAACAGCACAGAGAGGAUGAAUUAAAAAUUGUCUAACAUGCUGGGCGCAGUGGCUCACGCCUGUAAUCCCAGCACUUUGGGAUGAUGAGGCAGGUGGAUCACAAGGUCAAGAGAUCAAGACCAUCCUGGCUAACACGGUGAAAACCCGUCUCUACUAAAAAUACAAAAAAGUUAGCCGGGCGUGGUGGCGGGCACCUGUAGUCCCAGCUGCUCGGGAGGCUGAGGCAGGAGUUGCUGGGCACUGGACACAAGGAUUUCUAUCAGUGUGCUCUCCUGCACAUCACCCAGGUCUGGAGUGCCAGGAGGAUCAAAAACAUAGAAUCAAAGAUUAGCCACCUUCCAACUCCAAGUUUCCCCCACCCCAUGCCACCGUUCCUGCCUUGUACAAGUGAAGCAAGCAAUCUCUCCUGGUUUCACCCUAGGAGGUGGAAG
rnacentral:lncRNA from 1 species